rnacentral:rRNA from 1 species
GACGUAGGGCGCAAGCGUUGUCCGGAUUUAUUGGGUGUAAAGAGCUCGUAGGCGGCUUGUUGCGUCGACCGUGAAAACCCACAGCUCAACUGUGGGCUUGCGGUUGAUACGGGCGGGCUGGAGUUCGGUAGGGGAGACUGGAAUUCCUGGUGUAGCGGUGAAAUGCGCAGAUAUCUGGAGGAACACCGGUGGCGAAGGCGGCAUCCUGGACCGGCAUUGACGCUGAGGCGCGAAAGCCAGGGGAGCAAACGGG